AGCGAACGCUGGCGGCAGGCCUAACACAUGCAAGUCGAACGGAUCCUUCGGGAUUAGUGGCGGACGGGUGAGUAACACGUGGGAACGUGCCCUUUGGUUCGGAACAACUCGGGUAAACUUGAGCUAAUACCGGAUGUGCCCUUCGGGGGAAAGAUUUAUCGCCAUUGGAGCGGCCCGCGUCUGAUUAGCUAGUUGGUGAGGUAAAGGCUCACCAAGGCGACGAUCAGUAGCUGGUCUGAGAGGAUGAUCAGCCACAUUGGGACUGAGACACGGCCCACACUCCUACAGGAGGCAGCAGUGGGGAAUCUUGCGCAAUGGGCGAAAGCCUGACGCAGCCAUGCCGCGUGAAUGAUGAAGGUCUUAGGAUUGUAAAAUUCUUUCACCGGGGACGAUAACGACGGUACCCGGAGAAGAAGCCCCGGCUAACUUCGUGCCAGCCGCCGCAGUAAUAC
rnacentral:rRNA from 1 species